AGUCGAGCGGACAGAAGGGAGCUUGCUCCCGGAUGUUAGCGGCGGACGGGUGAGUAACACGUGGGUAACCUGCCUGUAAGACUGGGAUAACUCCGGGAAACCGGAGCUAAUACCGGAUAGUUCCUUGAACCGCAUGGUUCAAGGAUGAAAGACGGUUUCGGCUGUCACUUACAGAUGGACCCGCGGCGCAUUAGCUAGUUGGUGGGGUAAUGGCUCACCAAGGCGACGAUGCGUAGCCGACCUGAGAGGGUGAUCGGCCACACUGGGACUGAGACACGGCCCAGACUCCUACGGGAGGCAGCAGU
rnacentral:rRNA from 1 species